AUGAUAAUUGGGGAUUUUAACGAAAUUCUUUUAUCUAGUGAGAAGGAAGGUGGGAAUGUGAGACCAGAACAGUACCUGAAAAAUUUCAGAGAGUGUGUUGAGGACUGUCAACUUCAAGAAACUAUGUACAUUGGAAACCCCUUCACUUGGAGCCGUGGAAUUAUUCAGGAGAGAUUGGAUCGUGGGCUAUGUAAUGAUACAUGGGCCACCAAGUUUCCCUAUGCGGCAGUGGUUCAUGAGCACCAUGUGCACUCGGAUCACAGGCUGCUUGUGCUUGAUACAAACUAUUUUGAGAAAGCCAUGACACAGCAGCCUAGAGGAGAAUGCAGAUUUGAGGCGUACUGGCUACAGGAGGAAACAGUCGAGGAAGUGGUAAAACAGCAUGGUUACAUGUGCAGAAUACUGGCGUUGGGCCAAUUUUGGCGGAUCGUACGAAAGUGGUGA
rnacentral:rRNA from 1 species